CGGAAUACAAAUAUAUAUCUGUCCUUUACUUUCUCCACGGCCUUUUCUUCUACAGGGGUAUUAAGAUAUCAUCUGUCCAUUACUUUCUCCACGGCUGGCAUGUUAAUCCUCAGUUUAAUUAUAAGUCACGGUGUAUUUGAAAAAGUGGCAUAUUUGUAUUGUGCAUUUUUAAUCAAUUCCCGAACUAGUUAGAGUUGGAUGCGUUAACGGGUUCUCUCUAAUUGCUGUGAAAGUGUAUGUUUGGAUUUCUUCUUCCGCAUUUUCCAUUUAGAGUUAAGUUUUCAAAGUUAAAUCUUUCAUGGAAGCCCCGCAUUCUUGAUCUUGGGUAAUAAUGUUUGACUGGUACGUGUGAUUAUAAGCAGACUGUAUCUCGUGUUUUGAAAUCGUAAUAUUUAAAGAGAUCCUAAUUAAAUAAAGGAGCAACUUUGUGCUUGUAUAUUUGCCGGUCUUGAUGGUUUGACUCAUAAUUUGACACCUUCAGUUUUAAGAGGUUUAUACGUUAAGUGCUUAACAAGGGGUCAUGCAAUUCCAUGAAGGUCAUGCAAUUCCAUGAAAUGGGUUUGAACUAAGGCUUUGUGAUUUAUCUUUUUUGUUCUCUUCUGCUACUCAAUUUCCUACAGUCUAUUGAUUAGUCUUGCUUUUCAUGUCUAUCUACCGUGUAUUGUCAGGUUGCAUUUGCGUGGUUUAAAUAAAUAAUUCCAAGGGGGGUCAUGCAAUGCCAUGAAAUGGGUUUGAGCUAAGCCUACGUAUUUUGUUCAUUAUAUUCUCUUCUGCUUCCCAAUUUCCCACAUGCUUUUCAUUCACUUAUCUACAUUGUGUCUAUUGUCAGGCUGCAUUUGUGUGGUUUAAAUAAAUAAUUCCAAGGGGUUAGGCAAUGCCAUGAAAUGGGUUUGAGCUAAGAUUUUGUUCUUUAUGUUCACUUCUGCUUCUCAAUUUCCCACAUGUUUUUUGUUUGUUUAUAUACUUUUUGUGUAUUGACAGGCUGCAUCUGCGUGGCUACGUGAGUUUGUUCCUUGUGUUCUCUUCUGCUUCUCAAUUUCCCACAUGCUUUUCAUUUGUUUAUCUACAUUGUAUAUUGUCAGGCUGCAUCUGCGUGGCCUAAAUAAAUAAUUCCAGGGGGUCAGGAAAUGCCAGGAAAUGGGUUUUAGCUAAGGUGUUCUUUAUGUUCUCUUCCUGCUUCUCAAUUUCCCUCAAGCUUUUCAUUUGUUUAUCUACAUUGUGUGUAUUGUCAGGUUGCAUCUGUGUGGCCUAAAUAAAUAAUUUCAAGGGGUCAUGCAAUGCCAUGAAAUGGGUUUGAGCUAAGGCGUUCUUUAUGUUCUCUUCUGCUUCUCAAUUUCCCACAUGCGUUUCAUUUGCUUAUCUACAAUGUGUCUAUUGUCAGGCUGAAUUUUCGUGGUUUAAAUAAAUAUUCCAAGGGGUCAGGCAAUGCCAUGAAAUGGGUUUGAGUUAAGGCUACAUGAAUUUGUUCUUUAUGUUCUCUUCUGCUUCUCAAUUUCCCACAUGUUUUCAUUUGCCUAUCUACUUUGUGUGUAUUGUCAGGCUGCAUCUGCGUGGCCUAAAUAAAUAUUUCCAAGUGAUCAUGCAAUGGCAUGAAAUGGGCUGCAUUUUCUUGGUUUAAAUAAAUAAUUCCAAGGGGGCCAGGUAAUGCAAUGAAAUGGGUUUGAGCUAAGACUACUUGAUUUUGUGUUUUUUUUUGUACUCUUCUGCUUCUCAAAUUUUCACAUGCUUUUCAUGUGUUUAUCUACAUUGUGUGUAUUGUCAGGCUGCAUCUGGGUGGCCUAUAUGAAUAAUUUCAAGGGAUCAUGCAAUGCCAUGAAAUGGGUUUGAGCUAAGGCGUUCUUUAUGUUCUCUUCUGCUUCUCAAUUUCCCACAUGGUUUUCAUUUGCCUAUCUACUUUGUGUGUAUUGCCAGGCUGCAUUUUGCGUG